rnacentral:rRNA from 1 species
AUUGAACGCUGGCGGCAGGCUUAACACAUGCAAGUCGAGCGGGGAAAAGUAGCUUGCUACUUGACCUAGCGGCGGACGGGUGAGUAAUGCUUAGGAAUCUGCCUAUUAGUGGGGGACAACAUCUCGAAAGGGAUGCUAAUACCGCAUACGUCCUACGGGAGAAAGCAGGGGACCUUCGGGCCUUGCGCUAAUAGAUGAGCCUAAGUCGGAUUAGCUAGUUGGUGGGGUAAAGGCCUACCAAGGCGACGAUCUGUAGCGGGUCUGAGAGGAUGAUACGCCACACUGGGACUGAGACACGGACCAGACUCCUACGGGAGGCAGCAGUGGGGAAUAUUGGACAAUGGGGGGAACCCUGAUCCAGCCAUGCCGCGUGUGUGAAGAAGGCCUUUUGGUUGUAAAGCACUUUAAGCGAGGAGGAGGCUACCGAGAUUAAUACUCUUGGAUAGUGGACGUUACUCGCAGAAUAAGCACCGGCUAACUCUGUGCCAGCCGCCGCCGUAA